rnacentral:tRNA from 1 species
AAAGGGAGACCUAAUUCGGGUAUAAGACGAAAAAAUAGUAGUCGAAACCAAGAAUCAAUCCCAAAAGGUCGGAACGAGGUAUGUGGCUUUCAAACUAGGUUCUGGGUUCAUAAAAGACCUGAAUCAGGAACAAGGGCUAUUAGCUCAGGUGGUUAGAGCGCACCCCUGAUAAGGGUGAGGUCCCUGGUUCGAGUCCAGGAUGGCCCACCUGCACAGGUGGCAAAAACAAAGAAAAGAAGCGAGGAAUCAGCACCUUAUCUUACUUAUAUAGUAAGAGAGAAUGCUGGCUCUGAGUACAGAGUCCAGAGGAACCUUGAAAACUGCAUAGAGCCAGGUGAAAAAGCCAAAAAAGAAGACCGCAAG